UUCUGCUAAGUGGUGACCGUCAUGAUACUAGGUGUUGUUCAGAAGUAUAUAGGACAAAAAGACACUCCUCAGACCCAGACAACACAGACUUGGAUGAUCCUAACAGGACUCAAGCAACAUGCCUAAAAGCCUAAAGGAUCCUUAGGGCAGGGACAACCUUACCAGUAACUCACCACUGGAUACCUUGGUCAAACUGCUUGUGUUCAAGUUUACCCAGGUGGAAGACUGAGAACAAGAGAAAGGAUAAGGACCUCAAUUAACUUCUGUGUUGGAACUGAGCAAUCAGUCUAUAAAGCAUGAAUAUUUGAAUUUUUUCUAUUUCUUUUGACUCGAAAUAGAACUAAAUGCAAUCUAUUUAA